AUUAGUCUUGACCAAAUUACGUGCCAGCAGUCGCGGCAACACGCAGAAGACAAGUGUUAUUCAUCUUUAAUCGGUUUAAAGGGUACCUAGACGGAAAAUCAAGCCAAAGGCAAAGGUAAAGCCACAGUAGGGACUAGUUUUCUAGAGUUUAAUAAAAGAAAGUCGAAUAUCUGGAGUAGAGAGACAAUAUUUCGAUACCAGAGAGACGGGUAACGGCGUAGGCAACUUUCUAUGUAAAAACUGACGUUGAGGGACGAAGCCCUGGGUAGCGAUAAGGAUUAGAUACCCUAGUAGUCCAGGGAGACAAUGAUGAAUGCCAUAAGCUAGAUACAUUAGUUUAUAAAUGAAAGUGUAAGCAUUCCACCUCAUGAAUAAGGCGGCAACGCAUAAAUUGAAAUCAUUAGACCGUUUCUGAAACCAGUAGUGAAGUAUGUUAUUUAAUUCGAUAAUCCGCGAAUAACCUUACCACGUUUUGUAUAUUAUUUAAUUAAUACAAGCGCUGCACGGCUGUCUUUAGUUAAUGUCGUGAGACUUUGGUUAAUUCCUUUAAUUAACUGCAAACCCUUGUUUUAUUUANAUAUAA
rnacentral:rRNA from 1 species